rnacentral:rRNA from 1 species
GAUGAACGCUGGCGGCGUGCCUAAUACAUGCAAGUCGAACGAACAGACGAGGAGCUUGCUCCUCUGACGUUAGCGGCUGACGGGUGAGUAACACGUGGAUAACCUACCUAUAAGACUGGGAUAACUUCGGGAAACCGGAGCUAAUACCGGAUAAUAUAUUGAACCGCAUGGUUCAAUAGUGAAAGACGGUUUUGCUGUCACUUAUAGAUGGAUCCGCGCCGCAUUAGCUAGUUGGUAAGGUAACGGCUUACCAAGGCAACGAUGCGUAGCCGACCUGAGAGGGUGAUCGGCCACACUGGAACUGAGACACGGUCCAGACUCCUACGGGAGGCAGCAGUAGGGAAUCUUCCGCAAUGGGCGAAAGCCUGACGGAGCAACGCCGCGUGAGUGAUGAAGGUCUUCGGAUCGUAAAACUCUGUUAUUAGGGAAGAAAAAAUGUGUAAGUAACUAUGCACGUCUUGACGGUACCUAAUCAGAAAGCAACGGCUAACUACGUG